AUCUCGCGAGGCCAUGCUUUGUGCCGCCUGCAAGGGGUCGACCCGCGACUCGCGCAAAGAGAAUAACGAGGGCCCAAAGCGAAAUGGUCAGGGCCUUGAGUGAGAGGAAUGACUGGAAAAUGUUCUGGGAGUACUCUCAGGCUGAGGUUUUACGUAUUUGUUCCGAUUUCGGAAUAACUAAACUGGCGCUAAAAAAUUGCACUCUCAACACAGCCGGAAAAGAACACCUGCAAUAGAUCAACAAUAGGGUUUUCGGGGUGUUUUCUCUUUGUGUUUUUUCAGUUCCUAGGUUUAAAGGGAAGCUAGCAAAAUUAAGAUAGAGCGGACAGUGCACUAAUAUUGCACAUUGCGCUAAUAUUGCACAGUAUAACUAAAAACAUAUUACUUCUACCAUUCUAAUUUACAUUAUUACAAUUCCUUCUUCGGACUCUUCACAAUCAAGAAACGAAAUCAUUCGUACCAAACACCACUAUCUAGCAGCUUGUUAACCUAGACAGACUACAAGUGUUGUACAAGCAAAAUAUGACGAUCACUACCAAUUAAAAACUAAUUCAAAUUAUCUUGGUUACUCUGUUUGGAGUUAAUAUUAUCACAACUUCGUUCACCUAGAAUUCCCAAAUCGAACUUCCAAUUUAUUUACUCUCGACAUUUCUAGGUUAUUAUAUAUCAGUAUCUCUAACAAAGGAGUUACCAAAAUCAUACGCCAAUGAAUCAUUUCCUAAGAUUCUUUAUACACAAAUAAUAAGUUAAUCUUACAACAUAACCAAUCUAACAAAGUCAGGAGAAUAUCCUUUAUCAUUCUCAUCAACAAUGCCGAAAGCCAAUUAUUUAUCGGUAUCGACUUUGAAUAUCUGCAUAUCGUAAAUCAUAUAUUUACACCAAAUGAAUGAGAAAAUUCAAGUAUACAAUCUUAGUAUAUUUAGUACAGAGGAUCAAGAACUUACUUAUCUUACAUUCUGCCAACAUCUGUAAAAUGAAAUAUUGCUAAACGAGGCAAAAUAUUAUUUAUGAGGCAAAAUAUUAUGUAGUACCCUAAUAAAGAUUUGUUAUUCCAACGAUCAUUUAUUUCUUAUUUUCGUGAUAUUUGUAGGUAAAUAUUAAAAUCAUAAAUUACUGUAAAACAAAAUGUUAAAAUGUCUUCAUGAUUGUGACGUCAUAAUUAAAUGAAAUUAAUAAAAUCUGAUCCUGCAAAGUUAUCUUUGACUGCAAAAUCAAUAUUUAUGCAUUACUAUCAAAACUCAAAUCUGAGUCUGUAAAAUAAUUUUAAAUUAUAAAAUAUAUUCGUUUGAAUAUUAUAUAUAAAGUAAAUAGAGUGAAUGUAUAUAUAAUUAUAUAUUGUGAGUCUAAGUAUAAUUUAAUGAAAAUCUAUGUUAUGGAUUACAACUCGAGAAUAAUGAAAAUCUUGAUUAUGGAUUCAUUAAUUAAUAUUUUUCAAUUUCAUAAUCCACUAUUUUCUAAAAUGGAUUAACCAUAAUCCAAAAUUUACAAAAAUAAGAUUACACCUCAACCCUCACUUCACUCUCUAUAUAAAGUCACCACUCUCCUUCAUUUCAUUUCAUUCAUCAUCUAAAAAAACACAUUCUGCAGUAAAAAAAAAGAAAAAAUCUGCAUUCUUGAAAAGAAAUGGCCAAUGACAAUGCAUUGAAAGUGGAAAUGCUAGUCAUAUACAAAAAGUGUAUGCACAACCAUGCAGCCUCCACCAGAGGAUUCCUCCUCGACGGCUGCGGCCUCUUCGAGGCCCCUAGCGGCACCACCGCCGGGUCCCGCGAGGCCAUGUUCUGUGCCGUCUGCGGCUGCCACCGCAACUUCCACCAGAGAGUCGCGGUGGAAAUUCCACAACACUACCACUCCUCCCGCUCCUCCUCCGCCUCGCAACUCCACCAACAACAACAGCCCGCCUCCCACCCCCACCACCACCACCGUGGUGGCAGAGGCAACAUGAUCAUUUGCCGCGAACCGGCCUCUGCACAGGGCCGCUUCGCUCUCGAGUAGGCGGCGGCUCGUCGGCAGACGCCGGCAGCGAGCCCCGCCCUGACCACCUCUCCGGCCACCAGACAUGUACAGAGCCGAGCCCCACAUCGACAUGCGUCGGGCACCUCUGCACGACAGGGAGUGCCACCUCAGCAUGGGGUGCGUGCUACGCGCGCAAAGAGAAUAACGAGGGCCCAAAGCGAAAUGGUGAGGACCUUGACUGAGAGGAACAACUGGAAAAUGUUCCGGGAGUACUCUCAGGCCGAGGUUUUACGUAUUUGUUCCGAUUUCGGAAUAACUACACUGGCCCUCAAAAACUGCAUCUCUUCUCUACACAGGCGAAGAAGAAAAGCUGCAAUAGAUCAACACCAGGGUUUUCGUUUUAGUUUUUUUUUUCGGUUCCUAGGUCCAAAGAGAACUAGUGUUUAUUGUAAUAGAUGUAAUCUGUGUACUGAGAUGAUACUUGUCUUUAUCUUCCUUGUCCAAAAUUCAACUACACUAAUUAAAUUAUGAUAGAGCGAGCCGACACUGCACUAAUAUUGCUCAUAUAACUAAAAACGAAUUUCUUCAAACCAUUCUAAUGUAACC
rnacentral:lncRNA from 1 species